rnacentral:tRNA from 2 species
GCGUCUGUCGUAUAAUGGUUAUUACCCGAGCUUCCCAAGCUCGUGACGAGGGUUCGAUUCCCUUCAGACGCU